rnacentral:tRNA from 1 species
AAGCAAGAAGCGAAUAAUCGCAAUCAGUUUCGACCUGAUCAUUGGUAAGAGCUACCCUUACUUU